UGUUUGUAGGACCGUAGUCGGAGCUUCUCAUCUCUUUCUGUGGUUAGUGUUCUGAUGUCCCGAAAUAGAUAAUCUUGAAGUAAUUCUUGAUUAUUAGAUCAACUAGAGAACUCUCAGGAAACUUCCUCUCUUCCCACCAAAAAUAAUUAUAUAGUUAUCCUUGGGCGAUCUUGAUUCUUAAUUAGUACACUCACGUUCUCUGUGGAAAAUCGAUACUCUGGAAUAC
rnacentral:lncRNA from 1 species